CAUUUUCAGUAAAGAAGUCCUGAGUAAACACGUUGUCGUUGAAUACCGCUUCUCUGCCGAACCUUAUAUUAGUGCCUCAUGCAGUAAUGUCUCAGUUUUAUCUCAGUGAAUGCCCGCGGGCUAAGAAAACAUUCUAAGGAAUUUUGCAAAUGGCAAAGAUUAAAGGUCAAGUUAAGUGGUUCAACGAGUCUAAAGGUUUUGGUUUCAUUACUCCUGCUGACGGCAGCAAAGAUGUGUUCGUACACUUCUCUGCAAUCCAGGGUAACGGCUUCAAAACUCUGGCUGAAGGCCAGAACGUUGAGUUCGAAAUUCAGGACGGCCAGAAAGGUCCGGCUGCUGUUAACGUAACCGCUA
rnacentral:sRNA from 1 species